UGGGGAAUAUUGCACAAUGGGCGCAAGCCUGAUGCAGCGACGCCGCGUGCGGGAUGGAGGCCUUCGGGUUGUAAACCUCUUUUGUUCAAGGGCAAGGCACGGUCUUUGGCCGUGUUGAGUGGAUUGUUCGAAUAAGCACCGGCUAACUACGUGCC
rnacentral:rRNA from 1 species